CUUUUCGCCAGCAAGGGUGAGUGGGCCGUCAAUGACGUAUCCAUCCGAUUCCGAUCCGAGCACUCAGCACAGGUACGUUCAACUUCUGAGCCCCUCUGAGCCAAAGGCAGAAAGCCCAGCCAGCAGCCAAACGAAGCCUCAAGGAAAACCACCGUCACCUCUCUGCUGGGAAGCGCUGAGCAAAGGCGAGUCCCCAGGCUACGCAGCCGAUUUGAUCAGCACAAGGCAUGCAAGCUCCACCCCCCAGUCAUUCUUAGACUCCUUAUUGGGUGAGCAACGCAGCCAAGCAACACAGUUGGAGCCUCCCUCCUCCCUGGCCGGCAGGGAGGGAGGGAGAGGAGCUGCUUCCUUUGAAACCCGGGAAAUUUAAGGGACAUCAUCAAUAAAAGGACAGCAGCGGGACGUGUGCUGGGGUAAGGGACUGUCCCGCCAAAUAAGGGACGCUUGACAGCUAUGGCUCCUACUGUCAGAAAGUUCUGGCUAAGGUUUAGUCAGAAUCUCCUUUCCUGUUCAGGGCCGGAUUUAGGUUUGAUGAGGCCCUCAGCUCCUGAAGGCAAUGGGGCCCUUUAUAUGUCCAGCUGUCCUUUGUCAGCAACAAAUGGUCGCUGUUUUUUUGUGUUGAAUAUAUGCUAUAUGGAAAUUUAUGGACCUAAUAGGUAUUUAAAGCCAUGUGCACAUAACAAAAUAACCAGUCCAUGCAGAAUGUAGGCACCCUAUAUAUAGAAAGGAGCAAACCAGUGAUAUUUAGGGAGCAGGCUGGCAGGCAGGGCCCAUGACUUACAUCCUAGGAGCCUACACAACACAAAACACUGUUGCUGUAUGUAGGUUUUAUUUUAAUUUGUUUUUUAUCUUAUAUUUUGGAGAUAUACAUCCAGUUUUCCCCCCUUAAAUUUUUUUGGGGCACCCCAAGAGAGUGAGUGGGGCCCUAAGCUAUACAGUGGUACCUCGGGUUACAGACGCUUCAGGUUGCAGAUGUUUCAGGUUAUAGACUCCGCUAACCCAGAAAUAGUACCUCGAGUUAAGAACUUGGUUUAGGAUGAGAACAGAAAUUGCGUGGCGGCGUGGCUGUGGCGGGAGGCCCCAUUAGCUAAAGUGCUGUCUCAGGUUAAGAACAGUUUCAGGAUAAGAACGGACCUCUAGAAUAAAUUAAGUUCUUAACCCGAGGUACCACUGUAGCUUGUUUAGCUUAGAAAGCGAUACCUCCUGAGGCCUUGCAUUGGAAUGAGCUGGGAGGUGCAACAGAGAGAAGGAAGGCAACACUUAAGCAGUCAUUGCAGAAUAAGAAGUUUGAUUCCUGUGGGUUUUUAUAAGGUCGUCCCCAUUUCUUUUAGAUCUACCACCUUAUCUGUGAGAAGCAGCUUCAAUAUAUUUCUUCAUAACAUCCCUUUGCGUUUGGUGCAAGGAAUAUUGCAUUAGAUUUCCUUGUUACAAAGCUAGAACUUCUGUCCUGUUUCCUAACGUUCCUUUCGCACAGCAGUGUUAAAGAUAUCAGUUUAAUAUGCAUGAAAUUUGUUUGAAUGCAUUUUGCUUAAAAUACUAUGCAGAGAUGCUUGCAUUAUUCAGGAAUUUUAGCUAGAGCAAAUGCCAUGGGAAAGGGUGGCUGUUUCUGUUUCAGGUUAAUUGACGACUCAUCCCAGAAGCCCAAAUAGAGAUCUCUUGCAGCAUGAAAUUAAACCUGAAAACUCAGCAUCUAAAUCAGUCGUUGGCGCCAUCAGCAGUAGUGGCUCGGCUCAGCGACGCUUGCAUGGGAUCUCUCACUGGCACCAGAGAGAGGAAAGUUUAUUGAACAGUAUUAAAAAGAAGACCGGACUGCGUUGCUGGCUUGUUAAAGAGCAAUGUGUUACUUUGUAUUCUUCCAACGUUUGUUUUGUAACUUGUUUAAGACCGUUUGCAG